UGGGGAAUAUUGGACAAUGGGGGGAACCCUGAUCCAGCAAUGCCGCGUGUGUGAAGAAGGCCUGAGGGUUGUAAAGCACUUUCAGUGGGGAGGAGGGAUGAUUGAUUAAGAGUUGGUCAUUUGGACGUUACCCACAGAAGAAGCACCGGCUAACUCCGUGCCAGCAGCCGCGGUAAUACGGAGGGUGCGAGCGUUAAUCGGAAUUACUGGGCGUAAAGCGUGCGUAGGUGGUUGAUUAAGUUAUCUGUAAAAUCCCCGGGCUUAACCUGGGAAGGCCAGAUAAAACUGAUGGACUCGAGUAUGGGAGAGGGUAGUGGAAUUUCCGGUGUAGCGGUGAAAUGCGUAGAGAUCGGAAGGAACACCAGUGGCGAAGGCGGCUACCUGGCCUAAUACUGACACUGAGGCACGAAAGCGUGGGGAGCAAACAGG
rnacentral:rRNA from 1 species